rnacentral:rRNA from 1 species
AUGUUUAUUGAAUAUAAAGAAAAGACGAACAGCCUCAGUAACUCUUAUUUUAUUUGAUGUAUUAGGAUUAUAACUAUGUUAAAUUAUAGAUAACAAUAAUACAAUAAGAAUAAGAUCUAUCAGUUAGUUGUUAAGGUAAUGGCUUAACAAGACUAUGACGGAUAACGGUAUUACUUUGUAAUAUUCCGGAGAAGGAGCCUGAGAGAUUGCUACUAAGUCUAAGGAUUGCAGCAGGGGCGAAACUUGACCUAUGAUAUGAUAUUGAGGCAGUUAUGAGUAGUAUUUUUAAUUAUUGUAGUAUUGUAAGUAUAUACUACAAGAUAAAUCGGAGGGCAAAUCGAGUGCCAGCAGCCGCGGUAAUACUUGUUCCGAUAGUGUGUAUGAUGAUUGAUGCAGUUAAAAAGUCUGUAGUUUAUUAUUAAUAAGCAUUGUGAGGUAUAUUGUAUGGUUAGGAGAGAGAUGAAAUGUGAUAACCCUAACUGGAUGAACAGAAGCGAAAGCUAUAUACUUAAAUGUAUUAUUAGAACAAGGACGUAAGCUAGAGGAUCGAAGAUGAUUAGAUACCAUUGUAGUUCUAGCAGUAAACUAUGUUAAAUCAUAGAUACAUUUUAAUAUGUAUUUAUGUAAAGAAAUUAAGAUUAUAUUGACUCUGGGGAUAGUAUGAUCGCAAGAUUGAAAAUUAAAGAAAUUGACGGAAGAAUACCACAAGGAGUGGAUUGUGCGGCUGAAUUUGACUCAACGCGGGGUAAUUUACCAGGGUAUCACAUGAUAUAAUAUUUUAUCAUGAUAGUGGUGCAUGGCCGUUUCCAAUGGAUGCUGUGAAGUAAUGAUUAAUUUCAACAAGAUGUGAGACCCUCUAUUAAGACAGAUGUAGUGAUACAUAUGAAGGAGAGGAUUAAAACAGGUCCGUUAUGCCCUAAGAUAAUCUGGGUUGCACGCGCAAUACAAUAAUAUUUAAUAUUAUAAGGGAUAAUAUAAUGUAAGAUAUAUUUGAACAUGGAAUUGCUAGUAAAUUUUAUUUAAUAAGUAGAAUUGAAUGUGUCCCUGUUCUUUGUACACACCGCCCGUCGCUAUCUAAGAUGGUAUUAUCUAUGAACAAAUUUAUAAAGUGAAUAGAUAGUAC